rnacentral:rRNA from 1 species
CAGUAGCCGCGGGAAAACGUAGGGUGCAAGCGUUAAUCGGAAUUACUGGGCGUAAAGCGUGCGCAGGCGGUUAUAUAAGACAGAUGUGAAAUCCCCGGGCUCAACCUGGGAACUGCAUUUGUGACUGUAUAGCUAGAGUACGGCAGAGGGGGAUGGAAUUCCGCGUGUAGCAGUGAAAUGCGUAGAUAUGCGGAGGAACACCGAUGGCGAAGGCAAUCCCCUGGGCCUGUACUGACGCUCAUGCACGAAAGCGUGGGGAGCAAACAGGAUUAGAUACCCGUGUAGUCCCUGUCUCUUAUAA